rnacentral:rRNA from 1 species
GACGAACGCUGGCGGCGUGCCUAAUACAUGCAAGUAGGACGCAGUUGCGAACGGGUGAGUAACGCGUAGGUAACUACCUAUUAGAGGGGGAUAACUAUUGGAAACGAUAGCUAAUACCGCAUACUAGUAGAUGGACCUGCGUUGUAUUAGCUAGUAGGUAGGGUAAUGGCCUACCUAGGCAACGAUACAUAGGCGAGCGGGGGGGGUGAUCGGGCAGACUGGGAAUGGGACACGGGCCAGGCGCCGACGGGGGGGAGGAGGAGGGAAUCGUCGGAAAUUGGGGGAAACCUGAACGAGGACAGCCGGGUGAGUGAAGAAGGGUUUCGGAUCGUAAAGGUCUUUUGUUAAGGGAGCGGUACUUAACCAGAAAGGGACGGCUAACUACGUGCCAGCCGCCGCGGUAAUUC